rnacentral:lncRNA from 1 species
CGCGAAGCCCAGCCAUGAAUCUAAGAGGGAUCCACUAGCCACAGUAUGUCUGAACUGAUCACUUACCCCCAGAAUCAUCUGUGUUUUGGAUAUCUUUGAUAUCUUCGGCUCAUCCCUCACAGCAACAUCUGAGGCAAGACUCUAAUUAAGGACUGUUGUCUCUUCUCUUGGAGAGCUUAUGCAGUCAGAAAUCUCUGUUUGGGGUCAGAUCAUCAGCUGACAGACACG